rnacentral:rRNA from 1 species
AUUGAACGCUGGCGGCAGGCCUAACACAUGCAAGUCGAACGGUAACAGGAAGAAGCUUGCUUCUUUGCUGACGAGCGGCGGACGGGUGAGUAAUGUCUGGGAAACUGCCUGAUGGAGGGGGAUAACUACUGGAAACGGUAGCUAAUACCGCAUAACGUCGCAAGACCAAAGAGGGGGACCUUCGGGCCUCUUGCCAUCGGAUGUGCCCAGAUGGGAUUAGCUAGUAGGUGGGGUAACGGCUCACCUAGGCGACGAUCCCUAGCUGGUCUGAGAGGAUGACCAGCCACACUGGAACUGAGACACGGUCCAGACUCCUACGGGAGGCAGCAGUGGGGAAUAUUGCACAAUGGGCGCAAGCCUGAUGCAGCCAUGCCGCGUGUAUGAAGAAGGCCUUCGGGUUGUAAAGUACUUUCAGCGGGGAGGAAGGGAGUAAAGUUAAUACCUUUACUCAUUGACGUUACCCGAAGAAGAAGCACCGGCUAACUCCGUG